rnacentral:tRNA from 1 species
GGCUCUGUAGCUCAGUAGGUCAGAGCGCGGGACUCAUAAGCCCAAGGCCGCAGGUUCAAAUCCUGCCAGAGUCAC